rnacentral:lncRNA from 1 species
CCAGAUCUUUGUGGUAGAUGCUUAGCUCACAGCUGCUAUAGCCUGGGACUGCUACCAGACAAAGCGGCUUUGGGACAGGACAACAAGCUGGCUCACCCCGCCGGCCAGCUGGGGCUGACUUGUCUUUGCCGAGGCGAGGGACAGGUGGGCACUUGCUUGGGACCCUUGGGUCUGGGACGAGUCAGGCUAGAAACUCUUUGCUGUGAAUGUAUUUGCUUAGGAUGUUAGUUGUUUUGUUCUCUUUCCCCCACAGGAGUUUUCAGUUCUUCUAGGAUGAGAGCAUGAAGUCUUUCCUCUGGGCAGUGGGCUGGCUAUGGGACAUCACAGCUCUCCGUCUUGGCUGGGUUCCUCAGAGGGGGAUUUGGGAGAAGAUCUUGGAAACUGAAAUCCAAGAGCAGAGAGAGAGAGAACUGGGGCAGAGUCAAGAGGCCGGGGGCCUCAUUUUCACUUUUGUGUAUCAUUUGUCGUUCCUAGCUCUGCCUGUACAGUGGACUGCUGGUGACAGCUGCCCUGCUACCGCCCUGGGCCCCAGGGGUAGUGCUCGCUGCCCCCCAGCAUGGCUCGGGGCUGAGCACCAGAGCAGCUGUCCUGUCGUUGCUCCCAGUGCCAACCCAAGUUUUUGCAGAGAGCCACCCUGCAUCUCCAGCUGCUCCUGGAAGUUGCUCCGACCACCAAACAUCAUCGACUGAGGAAGUGGACUUGCUGAAGAACCCUCUUGCCGCAGACCAGCUGCAGUCGAUGUAGGGUAGGAAGGGGAGAUGUCCUGGGCCGGCGAUGAGAAAGAACCUCCGCAAGCAAUGUCCAGGUUCCCUCUGAGAAGCCUCAGGGUCUACUUUAUUUUUAUAUCUUUAAGCAAUAGCUGGAACAUGUUUACAUUUUAAGCUGCCUUAGCAAUUUCUAUUGAAGUAAAGGUUAUUUUUUGUUAAACAAAGUACAAUUCCUCUAAGCUGUUUCAUUUCAUUGAACAUCACGAAUACAUAUUUAAAAAUUACAAUUGUCCCCUUAUUUACCCACACCUAAACAGAACAGAAAGUAACUUAAUCAAAAUCUUUAUAUCAGCGGGGGUUCAAGCGAGAUUUAAUCAAUUAAAUGUCAAACUUGUGGUCGCCAGCUGGCCCUUGAGAAACUGUACAAUGGUUAAUAUAGCUGCUAUUAGCUCUCUAUUUUACUUUACCUCUGUUCAUCUUAACUAAAUGUUAUUUAGGUUCAUAGUCCAUGAGCAGGAGAUAUUUACAGCACUUUGAGAAAUAUCGAGUAACUUGUCUCCUUAAUGCAUUUACCUGUCUUAACUUUCUUUCUUUUUCCCAUUUCCACUAUUUCUUUCAUCCAAAGUCUGUCCUUCCAAUCUUUUCGUAAGACCCCUUUAGUAAACAGAAUGUCAGCAAUAAGAGGGGGAGUUAUAGUAGUGGGGAAACAGAGGGGGUUUUAGAGGAGGUUUCUCUAGAAGUGGAUGUGGCAAUAGAACUAAGAGAAACUGGAAUUUGGGACUUGUGAGCCAGAUCAGAUUUCAAUCUAUCAUUUCCAAUUUGCCCCAUGGAGAGUCUGUUGUUAGUCACAAACACAGUGACUCCUGUGAUCAGAGUAACAAUUAUAAACAUUACGGCAAAAAAAAAAUAAAACAUGAGGGUACGAUGUGUUCCACCCUUUCUUUCCCCCAGCUGGAACUUUGUCAAGCAGCAAUGGAGGUCGGUUGGGCUUCGCCACCCUAUGUUCCCACAAAUGGCCUUGCACUUUCUCUGUAGGUUGACUGUGCAUAACCCUAGCGAGUUCCCCAGUGGUCUGACACUCCUGUGGUGCGGUUUUAGGUUAUCCACUAGGACGGCGCUCCAUCAUUGUCCUCUCUAAGAGCUGUCUCUUCCUCACAGCCGUGCCGGUGUUACAGGACUGCCUCUCUGGGUACAAAUGGCCAUUUGAUUGCUGCUUACAACAUAGGUGGCUCUGUGGAAUCCGUUCCCUUCUUUUGGAUUGGGGAAUGAGGACUCUAUGGUCUUAUUUGGCUUCAAGUGAUUGCUUGAGCUGAAGAAUUACAAACCCAGGGGCCUAUAUGAGGGCCUCUUUCAUCACGUGGACAGAGAAGUAGAGAAAACCACUGUGGUGAGCAGAAUGAAGAUAAGCAAUGAGAGGUGUUAAGAAACGACGCGCAGCUGAGGUUUGGGGUGGGGUGGGUCUGAGAGAGGAGCAGCCCUUGCCCCUGACUGCCCUCUAGUUUUUAUCUCUGUCCUCUGGUUCCUCUGAUGGCCCUUCUUGCUUUUUAAAGUGGUACUGAG